UCCUAAACUUAAAGAAAUCCAAAUAUAAGUGAAAUGAACUUAUUGCGUGUGGUGAGAGUGAAUAUUACCACAUUUGUGUGGCUGUAACUGCAGCCAUCACACCCCUCCUCAACAGUUUGUCUGU